CUCGGAAGCUGGAGCUGGGAUAUGAACCUGAGCAAGCUGACUGUGAAGCCCAUGGCUGUCCCUCAAGCCUCUGCCUACAUUCCAUCCCCAUAUGGUGGCCGUGGGAUGGACUCAGGACUUCUCCGGGCCAGGCUCAGCCCUAGGGUUGGAGACCAUGGAAAAGGGCCAAGAAAUGAGGACACUGAGCCACUUCUCAGGAUGGCUGAGUCUGGAGAUCCUGUUGGCUUUUUCCUGGGAGGAAGCAUAGUCUGCUGGAAUUAGGAAGAAUAGGAGGCUGCCAUUCAACUCCAUAGAAAGCCAGUGGAAGGGGUCAGAUGAGGACGAGGAAACCCACAGGGUGAGUCAGAUGAAGCAGAAAAUCCAUACCUCACCCAUGCUCCUGGAUGUUGGUGUUCCAGCGCCACCCUGCUCACUCCUACCCAAGACAUUCUCUCUGCCUCCAUGAGGAUCCAGGUUGGUUUACAACUUGCAGGUACAUGGAGCUGCCUGGAAGGCAGCAAAGAUACACCUUCUUGGCAAAAUACUCAAGGAAAGAGAGUGUGAGUCUGAGGGUGACUGGGAUGGUGGGGAGCACCUCUAGGUUCUAUCUUUUCUGAGGACAAGACUGCAAGGGCUGGGGAGGAAGACGUCAAGGUAGAAAUUGGGGCACUGCUCACCGCUCAUAGGCUGCAAAUAGCUGUCUGUUCAACAGCCGCCUCGUGAGGCACCCCCUGCAUUCCAGAAGCAGAGCAAGCCAGGAGCUGUCCAAGGUACACGGCUGCGGACCCACGUGAUGUGCACCUGGUAGGAGGCGCUGGGAUCUGCAGCGAGGGUCAUGAUCACAGCAGCUACCAGUAUUGAGCACCUACUGGCACAGGUACUGUGCUUGCUGCUUGGCACAUAUUCACCCAUCUUGUUCUCAAGUAAACCCCAUGAUGCAGGUGCAGCUGUGGACACCGAGGAGGAAAACAAGGCAAAGAAAGGCUAAGAAGCUCAUCUAAGGCAGAGGAGCUCAUGAAUGGUGGAGCCAGGAUGGAUUUCUGCCAGCAGGCUGACUGCAGAACCCACAAUGUGAAACCACAAUGUUCUGCCACCCCUAUGGAAUAUCAGGGGGUUGAAAAAUGCUGCACUGAUUGGCUGUGAUAUCCACGGAGAUGCUUGUGAAU
rnacentral:lncRNA from 1 species